rnacentral:lncRNA from 12 species
CAUUUACUGACGGACCUCAGAGAACGAAGAAGGAGCGCUGCGGCAGGACUUCAGAAACAGAGAAAGAGGGAGGGUGUGUGUGUGUGUGCGUGUGUGUGUGCGUGAGGGAGACAGAAGAGAAAGAGAUAGAGAUAUAGAGAGAGGAUGAAAGAGAGAGCAGAGAAGACAGCAGCACGAAAAGGGACAGCGUAGUCGUUGCUCCGCACUAACUAAAUAAAAUAAUAGAUAUUUUAUUCUCAGGUGCUGAUCAUAUUGAUCAAAGCUUUUGUGAAUUUUUAAGUGAUAUGCGCUAUAAAGUGUGUUCUCAUCUAGCUUUGGAGUCUCAUGUAACUAUGCAAGAUCUUUAACCAUAUACACUGAGGCGGAAAAGGCGCAACUCACAGUAUGCAAAGCGUAAGUGACCGAUUUAAAGAUAAAAGUUAUUUUGGAUACUCGACUUGAAACGGACUGGUGACUUUGAAUUGAAGUCUCCCGCGUGAUGAAAUGGUGAAAACCUGCAACUUCAGCUUGAGAGUGAGUCAACAAGCAUCUUCUGUUCAGCACAGCAAGGUUCCAGAUUUGAGAUCUUCACUUGGAUUAAAUUCUGUCAUCUGGACUAAUGCCUUCACAAAGACAAUAAUCAAAACGAGAACUUGUACAGCUUGUGGUGUUCUGGGAAACUGCAAUAUCACCUUUCUAUAAACCAUUUGCAGCCAUCAGUGGAUCUACACGGAAUGGAGGAAUAUUCUAUCCCAUUAGUCUGAAACAGCAACGCACUUGCAGACCAACAGGAGAAUAAAUUAAAAAGUCUUCCAGCAGUUCAAAAGAGCCAAAAUUAAAGGAUCUUCAGUUCUCAUGGUAGAAUAAGAAACCAUAAAGAAAGUAAUGAACAGUGAUUUAAGGGCUAAAGGAAUAUUUUUAUAACUCAGUCAGGUGUGAAGGUUAAUACCUGUUCCUUGUUUAUUCUGUGGCAUUUAAAUUUCUGUGCACGUCAACAUCCUGUACAAAAAAAAAAAAAAAAAAAAACCUUAGAAACAGUCACAGUAUCUUCAGCCAUGAAUUACUGCUCACAUUUAUCAGCCAUGACAUUCACAAAGGCAAAGCAUCACCAAUAUCUGCAACUACCAAACUAAAAUUUUUCAACACAAGAUGUUUUUGUGGAUUAAUUGAUCUUUAAUGCUAAGAAUCAUGCAUAGAUGAUAUGAA